AGGCUAGCGGUUAGGGUUUGGGUUCAGUGUGAUGCAAAAUAUUUAUAUCUGUCUCGCGUAAAUCUAGGUGAUUCAUUAUGAUUGAUCUUGACCGUCCAAUCGCGUUUAAAGAAGAAUAAAUAUGAACCGUUCAUCGCAAUUUGAUCUCGACCGUUCAAUCGCGUUUAAAGAGAGAACGAAUCUAGACCGUUCAUCGCAUUUAAUCGUGAC
rnacentral:lncRNA from 1 species